CGAUCCUCCAGCCUCAGCCUCCCGCUGGGACUACAGAACUGUGGGUUCCUUGGGAGAAGACGCCAGAGUUGGUUCUGUUGGUGCCUUCGUAACAUCUGUCACGUGGAGGGGGACAAUAUACACUUCAGGAGAUGCUCCUGACCACGUACCAGUCUACAAUGGGGAGGAUUCUCCGUCUCCCUGCCGCUGAGCUGCGGUUCACUAUGGAACUCUGACCACCCUGCACCUGUCCCAGAAACCAUCCCCGCCAAUGUGGCCUUCCCUCUUAGCAAAAUCCAGAAACCCGGAGGCACCUCCAGUCUUGCAGAGAGAUCACCAGACACGCCGGUGUUUGAGUUAAAGCUACCGAUGGCAUAAAAUUCCAAGAAGGUGGAUGUGAUGCCAGGAGCUGGGGAAGCCACUUUGUAACCAUGAAGGAAGAGACCCUCCAGCCCUGACACUAGUGAGCUCUUGAAACAACACCAGCACCCUAUACCUCCGGAUCUCACAUUAAUGUCAGUCUUCUCCAGUUUUUCUCUUAUUUGCAACUAGAAUUUUUCUAAUGGCUGCAUAGUGUUUCUCUUUACGCUUCCUAUCUUUUGGUUUUCUAUGGAAUCCAAAUUUGAAUAAUGGGGAUGUGUUGGCAGUUAAAUAAA